GAUGAAGAACGUAGUGAAUGCGAUACUUGGUGUGAAUUGCAGAAUCCCGUGAACCAUCGAGUCUUUGAACGCAAGUUGCGCCCGAAGCCAUUAGGCCGAGGGCACGCCUGCCUGGGCGUCACACGUCGUUGCCCCCCCAUCUACUCCUUCGGGAUUGCGGGGGGCGGAUGAUGGCCUCCCGUGCGCCUCGCCGCGCGGUUGGCAUAAAUGCCAAGUCCUCGGCGACGCACGCCACGACAAUCGGUGGUUGCGAAACCUCGGUUGCCCGUCGUGUGCGGUCGUCGCGCAUCGAGGGCUCGAAAAAAUUGCCGGGUUCCGGCUCGGCUUUCAACGCGACCCCAGGUCAGGCGGGGUUACCCGCUGAAUUUAAGCAUAUCAAUAAGCGGAGGA
rnacentral:misc_RNA from 1 species